GCGGAGAUUGUCGAGCGGCCAAAGACGCAGCAUUUAGGGUGCUGUCCCGAAGGGGUUCGCAGGUUCGAUCCCUGCUCUCCGCA
rnacentral:tRNA from 1 species